rnacentral:lncRNA from 1 species
UCCUUCCUUCCUUCCUUCCUUCCUUCCUUCCUUCCUUCCUUCCUUCAGCCAUGGUCUCUCUUUCCUUGCAGGAUAUCUGCCCCGGUCAAUACAAGAAUGUCUUCCUCAGUUGGCUUUGUAUCUCAAAGAAAACAUAUCUGUUUGACAGCUCAAGGCAAAAAAUGCUGCCAGGGUGGACCCUCUUUGGCCAGUGCAUCCUUUAAUGCAGUAUCCACCACCUGCUGAAGUCAUCAGGCCCCACUGCAUCGUCGCAGGACAAUACCAGCACAGAGCUGGCAGCAAAGACAUCUUGCCUUCUUUUGUUUGUCAAGACAGUGUCCCGUGAAUCACAGGCUGAUCUUGAACUUGGCUACAGACUCCAGCUUUUGGUCUGAAUAGAGAUGGAUGACCUUGGCUAUAUGGUGACUUCUUGCCAUUCCUUUUCUACUGAUUGAGAUGGGCUGGGAAGUGAAAGGAUCUCACAAUUUCCCAAGCCCCAUGAAAGCAGAGCUGUACUGGCCUCCUUCACACCCUCCCUUGAAUUUAUCACCAGACAUUAAGUUCACAGACUACUAUCAUCACCCCAGCAGAUUUUUAAUAGAGCCUUGGGGUAUCCGGU